GACGAACGCUGGCGGCGUGCUUACACAUGCAAGUCGAACGAUGAAGCUCUAGCUUGCUGGGGUGGAUUAGUGGCGAACGGGUGAGUAACACGUGAGUAACCUGCCCUUUACUUCGGGAUAAGCUCGGGAAACUGGGUCUAAUACCGGAUAUUCUGCGUGAUCGGAUGGUUGUGUAGGAAAGAUUUUUUGGUAAGGGAUGGGCUCGCGGCCUAUCAGUUUGUUGGUGGGGUGAUGGCCUACCAAGACGACGACGGGUAGCCGGCCUGAGAGGGCGACCGGCCACACNGNNACUGAGACACGGCCCAGACUCCUACGGGAGGCAGCAGUGGGGAAUAUUGCACAAUGGGGGAAACCCUGAUGCAGCGACGCCGCGUGGGGGAUGACGGCCUUCGGGUUGUAAACCUCUUUCAGUAGGGGAGAAGCGGAAAGUGACGGUACCUGCAGAAGAAGUACCGGCUAACUACGUGCCAGCAGCCGCGGUAAUACGUAGGGUACUAGCGUUGUCCGGAAUUAUUGGGCGUAAAGAGCUCGUAGGUGGUUUGUCGCGUCUGCUGUGGAAACGUGCCGCUUAACGGUGCGCGUGCAGUGGGUACGGGCGGACUAGAGUGCAGUAGGGGAGUCUGGAAUUCCUGGUGUAGCGGUGAAAUGCGCAGAUAUCAGGAGGAACACCGGUGGCGAAGGCGGGACUCUGGGCUGUUACUGACGCUGAGGAGCGAAAGCAUGGGGAGCGAACAGGAUUAGAUACCCUGGUAGUCCAUGCCGUAAACGUUGGGCACUAGGUGUGGGGUCCAUUCCACGGAUUCUGCGCCGUAGCUAACGCAUUAAGUGCCCCGCCUGGGGAGUACGGCCGCAAGGCUAAAACUCAAAGGAAUUGACGGGGGCCCGCACAAGCGGCGGAGCAUGCGGAUUAAUUCGAUGCAACGCGAAGAACCUUACCAAGGCUUGACAUGCACUAGACCAUCGCAGAGAUGUGGUUUUCUUUUUGACUGGUGUACAGGUGGUGCAUGGUUGUCGUCAGCUCGUGUCGUGAGAUGUUGGGUUAAGUCCCGCAACGAGCGCAACCCUCGUUCUAUGUUGCCAGCACGUGAUGGUGGGAACUCAUGGGAGACUGCCGGGGUCAACUCGGAGGAAGGUGGGGAUGACGUCAAAUCAUCAUGCCCUUUAUGUCUUGGGCUUCACGCAUGCUACAAUGGCCGGUACAGAGGGUGGCGAUACCGUGAGGUGGAGCGAAUCUCUUAAAGCCGGUCUCAGUUCGGAUCGUAGUCUGCAACUCGACUACGUGAAGUCGGAGUCGCUAGUAAUCGCAGAUCAGCAAUGCUGCGGUGAAUACGUUCCCGGGCCU
rnacentral:rRNA from 1 species